rnacentral:rRNA from 1 species
CUCCUUUGGUUUUGGGGAACUAGAAAUGUAUGUGUUCUUCUUAUAUAUGCUAGUGGAUAACGGUUAAAGAGGGGGCCAAAUGUGCAAACAGGUGAGGAAACCCGGGAGCUAAGUUUUGGAGCGGGGCUGGAGUCGUAUUAGGUUGAAGGUGGUAUAAAAGACCACCUUGCCGAGGAUGCGUGGUUUUAAACUUGAAGCCAUCUUUUCACUGAGACAAGGGGAGACCGGAAAGGGGGCUUUAAACCUUUAGGCAGCAGUAUAGAGUUUUGUGCAAUGCACGUAAGUGCGAUACAGAAGGGACGUAUUAUCUAAUCUGUCUAAUUAAGUGCCAGCAGACGCGGUGAAACUUAGGGAUUAGUAUUAUAGGAAAAAGCGUAAAGGGUGUGAAAGAGAUUCUUGGUAGAGGGUAAAUGGAAUUCUUCUGUAAGGGUGGUAUGUGUAGAUAGAAAUAAGAACUCUAAACGCGAAGGUAAUUUAUCUUACAAGGAAGGGGACCAAUAGGAAGCCCCCUUAGCCUCUUAGUGAAACACGAAGGUGUGGGGAGCAAAUAGGAUUAGGUAUCCUGGUAGUCCAUAUUGUAAAUAAUGAAAAAAAUGCAAAACAAAUUUAAAAGGUAAUAAAUUUUUCCGCUUGAGUAGUACGAUCGCAAGAUUAAAAUUCAAAAAACUUGGCAGUUCACUGUUAAAAUUAGAGGAGCGUGUCGUUUAAUUCGAUAGUCCGCGAGAGACCUUACCCAAACUUGAAUUCACCCCUUGACAGGUAUUGCAUGGCCGUCGUCAAUUUGUGUCUAAAACAAAAACCGAUCUAACCCAGUGGCUUUUUAUAAGUUUAUUGGAUGAAGUCAGGUCUUAUUGUCCUAAUGUUUGGGGAUUAGAUGCGCUACAUUUUUUUAUGCAACGAGUGAUUUAGGAGGGGAAACUCUAAAGUAAGAGUUCGGAAGGUGGCUGGAAGAUAACUGAAAGUUGUAUUUAAUAGUAAUUAGAAAGUAGAGCGUUCUAGUGAAUUUCUCCCAGUGUUAGCACAAAUUGCCCGUCGCCUCCGCCGAGAAAGGUAGUUUGAAUGCCUUCUAUUUUGCGGGUGCCAUCCAAUUUUGAGGCGGAGUAAGUCGUAACAUAGUAAGGGUGAGGGAACUGGCCCUUG